AUAAAUUAAAAAUGAAAUAUUGAGACAGCCAGUUAUGUACUAUAACUUUCAACUACUUAGCGCUUUUAAAAUAUGAGUUAUAAUUUUUUUUUUGUCUGAUGUUAUCAUGCACGGAACAAAUGAUUUUUUCACAAGAAAAUGCAAGCAAAUUUGAACCCAAUUAAAUAUGUUACAGUCAUUAUUUAGUAUAAACAUACGAUAUUUACAAAUAGAUGCUCGAAUAGUUAAAAAGUGAAUUAGAUAUUUUGCAUCAUGUAUAUAAACUCAUCAUAGAUACCAGGACUAAAUUUUAAAUAUACGCCAGACGCGCGUUUCGUCUAAAAAAGACUCAUCAGUGACGCUCCAUUCCAAAAAAGUUAUAAUAAAAAAAAAAAAAAAAAAAAAAGCCAAAAAAAGUACGAAGUUGAAGAGCAUUGAGAUCC
rnacentral:lncRNA from 1 species